UCUGCAUGCGGUGUAUGGAUGUAUUCGUUGAGAACAGAGCGGCAUGGCGCUCGGAGCUGCAAUUCUCGGCAGCUCUCAAUUCCUCUCUUCUCCGCCAUUCUCGUUACGGAAUUCGCACCCGACUUCCUCCUCACCGAUUUCGCUCCGAAACCCCAAAUCCUGGAGGUCCAUCGGACGUUCUAGAAUUGGCAAAAGCUGUCGUCCUCAGGGCAUCUGUGGCACAAGAAUGUCAGCAGUGGAGCUUGAUGCAUCUUUUGUAGUAAAAAAGAAGGCUGUUGAGGUUUCCAAUGAACUGAAAGGCACAUCCAUAUUUCUCGUUGGGAUGAACUGCACAAUGAAAACCAACUUGGGGAAGGUUUUAGCUGACGCAUUGAAAUAUUACUACUUUGAUAGUGAUAGUGUGGUUGAACAAGCUACUAAUGGCGACUCUUCUGCUAAAUCUUUUCAAGAGAGAAAUGACGAGAAGUUUCGAGAAUCUGAAACUGAAGUUCUAAAGCAGCUGUCUGCUAUGGGUCGUGUGGUUGUCUGUGUAGGGGAUGGUGCCUUGCAAAGCUCAACAAAUCUGGCUUUCUUGAGGGAUGGCAUAUCACUAUGGAUUGACGUUCCCCUAGACAUACUAGCAAAUGAAAUAUUGAUGGCUGGAGGCUCCUCUUCUGAAUUGGAAAUUCCAUCAGAUGAUGAUUAUUUCUUAGAAAUGGAGAAUCUUACUACGCGUUACAAUGAAUUGAAAGGUGGAUAUGGAACAGCUGAUGCUACGGUGUCACUCCUAAAGGUUGCUUCUCAACUUGACUAUGAGCACUUCAACUCAGUUAGUCCAGACGACAUUGCAGUGCAGGCUUUGAAAGAAAUAGAGAGGCUGACUAGGUUGAAGAAGAUGAUGGAAGAAGCAGCAAGACCAUUUUAAUUUCUGGAACAUGUUGGUUCAGGGCAUGUGCUCAAUGAAGCAGUGCAGCUUCUAACAAAAAAUAUUGCUAAAUUGGGGCCAUCAGUCUUUAUUUGCAGGUCAUGUAGAGCAUUGCAUGUGUCAUUUUGGAGGGGCUUUUGCUGAAAAUCUUCAGGAAAUAACCAAGCGACUCAGAAGAGGAUUGGCACUGUUUAUCGUUCGUUUCUCCCCUCUCGUUCUACGUUUGUCGCAACAAGCCGCACUAGGCACGUGCUCUCUUGCGAUUCUUCCUCCGCUUCGCCAGUUUCUUCCUGUUCAAAAUCUACAGUCGUUUUCAAAAGGCACACGAAGGAACGGUAUAUCUCUUACCUAUUUCAGGAAUGCAUCUUAUUCUUUGAUCGUCCGUUUCACUGCAAUUCUCCCAUCUUUGUCUUCUUCUUCACAUGCUUCAACCAGAGCCCCUGUUAGAUCCUUUUAAAUGCUUAUUCUGCAUUUUUAUUUUAUUUUGUGAUUGUGUAUUGUAAUAAGAAAAAUAUGUUGUGUUUAUUUGUUGUCAUUGGACUUGAAGGUUCAGAAGGUAUAAAUUUUUAGGGCAAAAA